UGCGCUGCAGGUGUCACGUUGCAGAUUUAGUCCAGUAGGUGGCGAUACUUAAGCAGUUGAUUCUACAAACAAUAUUUACAGAAAGAGAAGAAGAAUUUUAAGCUUCCGCGGCGAUGUUUGGUUUUAAAUUAGUAUAAACCGAGUUUAUUUGUAUGCUAAAUAUUUGUUAUCCGAGUAGAAAUGCAUUUUAACAAGUAUAAAGAUAAACAUCAUCAAGAGUCGAGUUUGUCGUCUUCUUUUAUUACUGCUCCCAAUGAUAAAACGCUGAUAAUGGCGUCUAAAGAGAAGAAGGAAAACAUAAGAAUGGGCAAACAGAUGGCAACUGUGUACGCAGCAAAGAUAAAGACCAAGAUACACAAUACCUCAUCAUUCUUCAAGCUUUCUUUGAAAAGUAACAACAAGGCUCUGACUCUGGCUCUGGUUGCUCAGAAGCAGAAGAGCAGAGAACUGGAGGCAGAGGUGGUGCGACUGAGGAAAGAAGCACAGACAAAUCAUUUUGAUCUUGCUCAACAGCGUCAUAAAAACAAACAACUGUUUGCCAUUAUACGAGAGUUUUAUGACUCUUCCCUUAACUGGAUGACAAAGGCAGUUGAUAUUUUUUGCAAUGAGGAGGAUCCAGACUCUGGACACGACACCAGUAAAGGU
ensembl:lncRNA